UACGAAGGGGGCUAGCGUUGCUCGGAAUCACUGGGCGUAAAGCGCACGUAGGCGGCUUCUUAAGUCAGGGGUGAAAUCCUGGAGCUCAACUCCAGAACUGCCUUUGAUACUGAGGAGCUUGAGUCCGGGAGAGGUGAGUGGAACUGCGAGUGUAGAGGUGAAAUUCGUAGAUAUUCGCAAGAACACCAAUAGCGAAGGCAGCUCGCUGGGACGUAACUGACACUGAGGCGCGAAAGCGUGGGGAGCGAACAGG
rnacentral:rRNA from 1 species